rnacentral:rRNA from 1 species
UGCCAGUGAUAAACUGGAGGAAGGUGGGGAUGACGUCAAGUCAUCAUGGCCCUUACGACCAGGGCUACACACGUGCUACAAUGGCGCAUACAAAGAGAAGCGACCUCGCGAGAGCAAGCGGACCUCAUAAAGUGCGUCGUAGUCCGGAUUGGAGUCUGCAACUCGACUCCAUGAAGUCGGAAUCGCUAGUAAUCGUGGAUCAGAAUGCCACGGUGAAUACGUUCCCGGGCCUUGUACACACCGCCCGUCACACCAUGGGAGUGGGUUGCAAAAGAAGUAGGUAGCUUAACCUUCGGGAGGGCGCUUACCACUUUGUGAUUCAUGACUGGGGUGAAGUCGUAACAAGGUAACCGUAGGGGAACCUGCGGUUGGAUCACCUCCUUACCU